rnacentral:rRNA from 1 species
AACGAACGCUGGCGGCAGGCUUAACACAUGCAAGUCGAACGCCCCGCAAGGGGAGUGGCAGACGGGUGAGUAACGCGUGGGAACAUACCCUUUCCUGCGGAAUAGCUCCGGGAAACUGGAAUUAAUACCGCAUACGCCCUACGGGGGAAAGAUUUAUCGGGGAAGGAUUGGCCCGCGUUGGAUUAGCUAGUUGGUGGGGUAAAGGCCUACCAAGGCGACGAUCCAUAGCUGGUCUGAGAGGAUGAUCAGCCACAUUGGGACUGAGACACGGCCCAAACUCCUAGGGGAGGCAGCAGGGGGGAAUAUUGGAAAGUGCGCGCAACCCUAACCCACCCACGCCGCGUGAGUGAAGAAGGCCUGAGGGUUGAAAAGCUCUUUCACAGAUGAAGAUAAUGCCGGUAGUGGGAAAAGAACCCCCGGCUACCUUCGUC